CAGCCGAACCCCGGGGGGGUCUGAUAUCCGGAUAUUUGUUCCUGACACCAUCCGCUCCGCGGUCAUGGAGUGGGCCCACUCCUCCAGGCUUGCCUGCCACCCGGGUGCCUGUCGGACCCUGGCCUUUGUGCGACAGCACUUUUGGUGGCCAACUAUGGUUCCUGACAUGUCUGCAUUCAUCACCGCUUGCACAGUGUGUGCACAGAACAAGACUCCUAGGCAAGCUCCGGCUGGUCUCCUACAACCUCUGCCUGUCCCCCACCAUCCCUGGUCUCACAUCUCCCUGGCCUUUGUCACGGGUCUUCCCCCGUCUGAUGGCAACAUCGCCAUCCUGACCGUGGUGAAUCGGUUUUCCAAAGCCGCCCACUUCGUUCCUCUCCCUAAACUACCCUCUGCCAAAGAGAUGGCCUAGCUCAUGGUGCAGCACAUCUUCGGGAUCCAUGGACUGCCCGUGGACAUGGUCUCCGACCGGGGUCCUCAGUUCUUGUCCCAGUUCUGGAAGGCGUUCUUCACCCUCAUUUUGUCGUUGGUCAGCCUGUCCUCCGGCUUCCACUCCCAGUCCAACGGCCAGUCAGAGCGAGCCAACCAGGUCCUCGAAACUACCCUGUGCUUCCUGGUCUCCGCCAACCCCACCACCUGGAGCCAGCAGUUUGUGUGGAUCGAAUACGCCUGCAAAACCCUUCCCUGCUCUUCCACGGGCCUAUCUCCCUUUGAGUGUUCCCUGGGGUAUCAGCCCCCGCUCUUCCCUGAGCAGGAAGAGGAGGUUGGCAUACCUUCUGCCCAGAUGUUUGUCCGCCGCUGUUGUCGUACCUGGAGGAGAGACCGGUCGGCCCUCCUCAAGACUACCUCCAGGUAUCAAUGACAAGCAGAUCGCCAUCGGUCCCCGGCUUCCCAGGCAGAAGGCCCACCCCUCCUCCCUGUAUCGUUGAUGGCCAUCCGUACACAGUGAGAUGCCUCCUGAGGGUUCGACCACGGGACAGGGGUUUCCAGUACAUGGUUGACUGGGAGGGUUACAGCCCGGAGGAGGGGUGCUGGGUCCCCGCUAGAGACAUCCUGGACCCAACCCUCAUCGCCGACUUCCACCGCCGGCACCCCGGUCAACCAGAAGCCAUUUGGAAAAACCUGCAACCCAGGAUGCCAUGGAUAAAAGGGUCCAGAUUCAGGUCAACCUUUAGCUGAAAGAGGCCUCCGAUUGUGAAGGUGGGAGAAGGCCGUGCACAGGGGAGAGGGAUCCGCUGCAGUGAGAGUCAGCAUCAAGUCUCGGACCACCUAUCUCAAAACCAGCCUCUACUCCCAAGCCACAAGACUGAUCCAACAGCUGAACCCUGGGCUGACUCCUGCACCUUACCACACACUUACCAUUUAGUCAUAUUCUGUACACAUAAAUCACUUUAGUCUACCGGACCAAUGAAGUAGUUAUGUCAACUGCACUAUGUAGAUAUACUAUUAUUAUAAUUCUAUGCUGCUACUGCAUUGUAGUUAUUCCACUCUAUGGGCAAAACAUUUCCAUACUAUAUGAAUAUAGGCUAUUUUGGUUUUAUCUUAAGGCUGUUUUUGUUUGAUCUUAUUCUUAUUUAUAUCUUAUAUCUUUUUUUGAUCUGCAUGCUUCUUUUGUACAUGUUUUUAUUGUUUAAUUGUUAGUAGGUCACACAGGAAAGGAAUCAAAUAAGUGAC
rnacentral:lncRNA from 1 species